CGCAAGCCUGACGGAGCAACGCCGCGUGUGGGAAGAAGGCUCUUGGGCUGUCAACCACUUUUCUCAGGGAAGAAGCCCUGACGGUACCUGAGGAAUCAGCCUCGGCUAACUCCGUGCCAGCAGCCGCGGUAAUACGGAGGAGGCAAGCGUUAUCCGGAAUUAUUGGGCGUAAAGUGUCCGCAGGGGGCACAUCAAGUCUGCUGUUAAAGGCUGGAGCUUAACUCCGGUAGAGCAGUGGAAACUGGUGUGCUAGAGGGCGACAGGGGUAGAGGGAUUCCCAGUGUAGCGGUGAAAUGCGUAGAUAUCGGGAAGAACACCAGUGGCGAAGGCGCUCUACUGGGCCGCGACUGACGCUGAGGGACGAAAGCUAGGGGAGCG
rnacentral:rRNA from 1 species